GGAAGGUCUGUCGAGGAUCGGAGUUUCUUGAACCAUCGGCCUCCGCACUGUAGAAAAGAUUGACUAUUCCUCUUAGUGUUGAACCAAAAAUACAGAGCAAUAACAAAGAGUAUUCCCUUCGAUCUGCCUUACAUUAUUGUGUAGAUUAACAGUUUUCAGAAAAGCUUCAGGUUCAUCCUUUGUCUUGAGUAGUUAGAAGUCAUUUCUGGAAUUUGUUGUGUUGGUGAAAUAACCUGCGAAAUCAGAUGGACAAACCACUACAUCAACUGAAGUAGUUUGGCAAAGGGAAAAUAGGAGGAAAAAGNNNNN
rnacentral:lncRNA from 1 species